rnacentral:snRNA from 1 species
CGCUUGGUUGAAAAGCCAG